rnacentral:rRNA from 1 species
GUCCACGCCGUAAACGAUGAGUGCUAGCCGUCAGCAGGCUUGCCUGUUGGUGGCGCAGCUAACGCAUUAAGCACUCCGCCUGGGGAGUACGGUCGCAAGAUUAAAAACUCAAAGGAAUUGACGGGGGCCCGCACAAGCGGUGGAGCAUGUGGUUUAAUUCGAAGCAACGCGAAGAACCUUACCAGCCCUUGACAUGCCGUGCUACCUGCAGAGAUGCAGGGUUCCCUUCGGGGACGCGGACACAGGUGCUGCAUGGCUGUCGU